UCCCCCAGUAACUGCGAGUGAAGAGGGAAGAGCUCAUCAUUGGAAUCUGGCAGUGUUGCACUGUCCGAGUUGUAGAUGAGGAGUAGUCCGUCUGGACUGCAUGGCGUCCAAGUACAAUAGGCCGUCAGUGGGACAUCAUAGAGGGUGACAAUCCCGUCCUUGACGCCAAUGUGCAAGUCUAUUACGAUGGCUAUCUCAGAGAGUCGAGCAGUUUGGGAUUUGCUGCUUAAACAUGGGAGGUAGAUUCCUUCUAAAGCUAAAUACAGGCGAGAGACCGAUAGAGAACAAGUACCGCAAGGGAAAGAUGAAAUAGCACUCUGUGAAGGGAGUCAAAAGGCGUGAAAUUGUUGCGAGAGAAGCGAUUCAAGUCAGCGUAGCUAGGCCCAUCAAGCGUCUUCGCUUUGGACUAGCUUUGCCAGCGGUCUUGUCCCUUGAAGAGA
rnacentral:rRNA from 1 species